GAUUCCGGGGCCAGCCUCGUCUGUCUGUGUAUUGCUCCGCCAGGGAGGGGAUCACCCAUCCGGAGGCUGGAUCCAGGCAGCAUCACAGCAUUCCUGCCAAGAUGCAAAUAACCAGACCCGUGAGUAUGCUGUGAUAACAGGGGACACUUGGGUGCGUAGGAGUUGCUGUAUCGGAGCCAAUCUUUAGACCUAAGCUGGCUCGCCAAAUGCCACUGACUCGUGCCUC
rnacentral:lncRNA from 1 species